rnacentral:rRNA from 1 species
UACGGAGGAUGCAAGCGUUAUCCGGAAUGAUUGGGCGUAAAGCGUCCGCAGGUGGCUAUGUAAGUCUGCUGUUAAAGAGUGAGGCUCAACCUCAUAAGAGCAGUGGAAACUACAUAGCUAGAGUGCGUUCGGGGCAGAGGGAAUUCCUGGUGUAGCGGUGAAAUGCGUAGAUAUCUGGAGGAACACCGGUGGCGAAGGCGGCGUCCUGGACCAACACUGACACUGAGGAGCGAAAGCCAGGGGAGCAAACGGG